rnacentral:lncRNA from 1 species
CUUCUGAGCAGCUCUGCUGGUCAGAGGCCCCUCCCCUAGUAUUGAUUUCCUGCUUCUGCAGAGCCAGAGAGGGGAUACUGAGAAUCUUGCAAGUUUCCACUUUCCCAGACAUGUGCUGUUUUGUUUACCUCCUGAGUCUCAUAAGCCCCCUCCCUCCUGGAGAGAAGGUUUCAAUGCUGAGGAAACUGCCGGAGAACAGAGACCCAGUAAAAUAAAAGCACUUCAUUAUAAAAAGAAAGAAAGUAAAACACAAUGGUGAAAGGGAAUUGACAAAGAGACAACAGCAAUUCUGAAUUACAACAGAUUUUUCAGAAAACCACAGAUGCAAGAGAAAACCUGACUCAGCAGAUAAUAAGCAUUUACAACCUACACUUGUAAAACAAAAUGGACUGCCUCUCUCUUCCAGCACCUAGCAAUUGCCAAACUAAAUUGGACUUGGUUUUUAUGUUUAAAAAGAAGAACACACAAAGUUAGGUGGAUUUAGAGUGGGGUGUACAAAGGAAGACUCGAGGGGUUGAAUGUGAUCAAAACACAUCCUACCAAAUUCUGAAAGAACUAAUAGAAAAAUUACAACCUAAGAUGAUAAGCACCUCUAGUAUCCUGAUUAUACUUCAGCCAUUUAAAGGCCUUAGUUCAGAGUGAGAGAAGAUAAUGGAUAAAUAGGAAAUGAUUGUUGUGAAACAUUUGGACUCCUAAUGUUCACAUUAAUUUAGUGCCUGCCAUCCUCCUCCUCCAUUUAGUACUGACAUAAGUGGGGUUCUAAUUGAAGAAAUUAAAUCGGACAAGUGAUAUAGUGGGGAAUUACCAAUGCGGAGUCAGGUAGAAAUAUAAGGGUAUUUAAUAGGGAAAAACCUUACUUAUAGAGGGACCUAGCCAGCCGGCGUGGUAGCAGUCUGUACAGCAAGUCCCAAAGUGAAAGGGAAAGAGCAAACGCAUGGUCCCCUGACCAUGCCCUCGAAAGCUUGUGAGGGCGUGGUCAGGCACACCUGUAGCCAGCCCCUAAGUAGGCGUGGCUACAGCUUCCCCUACAAAGUGAGGCUUACAUAUCUGUGUAAAGAACAGAUUUGGUUAAGAACCCUCACAGCCCAUCAUUCCAUCUCCAGUGCUGAUGGCCCUGUCCUACAGAUGGGAUCCUCACAAAAAGAAGGUGGCCUGCUUCCUAUCUCUUUCGGUCACAAAUGUUAGAGCUUUAAAGCAAACUUUAUUUUUUUUUCUUGUUUCUUCCUUAGGUUCUUUCUUUUUUUUUGAAUUAGAAAGAUUGUUUUACAUGUCAAUCCCAGUUCUCUCUCCCUCCCCUCCUUCCCUACCACUCCAACUAAUACACUACCUAUUCCAUAUCCUUUCUGCUCUCCAGGGAGGGUGAGGCCUUCCAUAGUAGGUCUUCAGAAUCUGUCAUAUCUUUUGGGAUAGGGCGUAGGCCCACCCCCUUGAGUCUAGGCUCAGGGAGUAUCCUUCCAUGUGGGAUGGUAAAGCAAACUUUAAAGCAAGCUACACAGUUACAUAUUGAUGAUAUAUAUUUAUUACAACAAAAAUAAUUUGGACACUAUUGUCUGGGAAGGAUGUAGGCAUGGUUGUAUAUUGCCUGUCUCCUGAAAUCUAGACAUGUAACUCACAGAAUUAAAAAUAGAAUGACCAUAUAAUCCAGCCAUUCCACUACUGGGUAUAUAUUUAAAUGAAAUUAAGUCAGCAUGUACUUUUCACAUACUUAGUUACAGCAGUGUGUAAAAUAGGACAUAGAACCAACAGAUUAUAAAUAUAUGAUAAUCUAUCAGCCUAUGAAUACAUUAACUAAAUAUAUUUUGUAGUCACAAAGAUAUACUACUUACCCAUCUAAAGAAGAGAAUCUAACAAUUUGUAACAGCAUGGAUGAACUGAAAGUAGAGGAGUGUAUUUAAAGGAAAUAAUCCCAGCAUAAGAAGACAAGUACAUGGCUUCAAUUGUAUGUCCAGUUGUGAAAAACUAAUCUCUCUCUACAAUUAAUAAAUGGUACCUCCUGAAACUGAAAAGCUUCUGCAAGGCAAAGGACACACUCAACAAGACAAAACAGCAGCCACAGAAUGGGAAAAGAUAUUCACCAGCCCACAUCUGACAGAGGGCUGAUCUCCAAAUUUUACAAAGAAGUCAAGAAGAUGGUCUCCAAAACAUCAAAUAAUCCAAUUAAAAAAUGGGGUACAGAACUAAAUAGAGAAUUCUUAGUAGAGGAAUCUAAAAUGGCUGACAGACACUUAAGAAAGUACUCAAUAUCCUUAGCCAUCAUGGAAAUGCAAAUCAAAACAACUCUGACACCCACAGCUAAACACUGAACUGAACUCCUGGAAUUCAGUUGCAAAGAAGGAGAAAUGAUAAGCAAAGGGGUCAAGACCAGGCUGGUGAUACCCACAGAAACUGCUGACCUAAAUAAGGGGGAGCUCAUGUUACCCAGACUGAUUGCUGGGAAACCAGCAUAGGACUGAUCCAGACCCUCUGAACAUGGGUGACAGUGAGGAGGCCUCCGCAAUCUAUGGGGCUUCUGGUAGUAGAUUAGUACUUAUCCCUAGCAUACAAAUGGACUUUGGGAACCCAUUCCACAUAGAAGGAUACUCUCUCAACCUAGCCAUACAGGGGAGAGCCUAAACCCUGCUCCAAAUGAUAUGAUAGACAUUAAAGAUCCCCCAUGGAAAGCCUGGGGAGCAGAAAGGGGA